CUCGUAGGCGGUUCGAUUAGUCGGGUGUGAAAUCUCCACGCUCAACGUGGAGGGGCCACUCGAUACUGUCGUGACUCGAGUCCGGUAGGGGAGUGCGGAAUUCCCGGUGUAGCGGUGAAAUGCGCAGAUAUCGGGAGGAACACCAGUGGCGAAGGCGGCACUCUGGGCCGGAACUGACGCUGAGGAGCGAAAGCGUGGGGAGCGAACA
rnacentral:rRNA from 1 species